UUGGAGGGCAAGUCUGGUGCCAGCAGCCGCGGUAAUUCCAGCUCCAAUAGCGUAUAUUAAAGUUGUUGCAGUUAAAAAGCUCGUAGUUGAAUUUCGGGAUCAGUGGGUCGGUCGUGCCACUGGUAUGAACUGGCCCUACUGGUUCCUCCUUCUUGAAGAACUGUAAUGCCAUUAAUUUGGUGUUGCAGGGAAACAGGACUGUUACUUUGAAAAAAUUAGAGUGUUUAAAGCAGGCAAUCGCUUGAAUACAUUAGCAUGGAAUAAUGAAAUAGGACGUUCGAUCCUAUUUUGUUGGUUUCUAGGAUUGACGUAAUGAUUAAUAGGGAUAGUUGGGGCAUUAGUAUUCAAUUGUCAGAGGUGAAAUUCUUGGAUUUAUUGAAGACUAACUACUGCGAAAGCAUUUGCCAAGGAUGUUUUCAUUAAUCAAGAACGAAAGUUAGGGGAUCGAAGACGAUCAGAUACCGUCGUAGUCUUAACCAUAAACUAUGCCGACUAGGGAUCGGAUGAUGUUAAUUUUUUAAUGACUCAUUCGGCGCCUUACGGGAAAC
rnacentral:rRNA from 1 species